rnacentral:tRNA from 1 species
UGGGGCGUAGCCAAGCGGUAAGGCACCGGUUUUUGGUACCGGCAUUCGCAGGUUCGAAUCCUGCCGCCCCAGCCA